rnacentral:rRNA from 1 species
ACGAACUUUUGGAGCUUGCUCCAGGAGUUAGUGGCGCACGGGUGAGUAACGCGUGGAUGAUCUACCCUUGAGUUGGGAAUAACAGCGGGAAACUGCUGCUAAUACCGAAUAAUAUCACAUUUCAAACUGUGAUCAAAGGCGGUGCAAGCUGUCGCUUGGGGAUGAGUCCGCGUCUCAUUAGCUAGUUGGUAAGGUAAUGGCUUACCAAGGCAACGAUGAGUAGCCGGUCUGAGAGGAUGAUCGGCCACACUGGGACUGGAACACGGCCCAGACUCCUACGGGAGGCAGCAGUGGGGAAUAUUGCGCAAUGGGCGAAAGCCUGACGCAGCGACGCCGCGUGAGGGAUGAAGGUUCUCGGAUCGUAAACCUCUGUCAGAAGGAAAGAAGUGUUAUGGGAGUAACUGCCUGUAAUUUGACGGUACCUUCAAAGGAAGCACCGGCUAACUCCGUGCCAGCAGCCGCGGUAAUACGGAGGGUGCGAGCGUUAAUCGGAAUCACUGGGCGUAAAGCGCACGUAGGCGGCUUUGUAAGUCAGUGGUGCAAGCCCUCCGCUCAACGGAGGAACUGCCAUUGAUACUGCUUAGCUUGAGUUUGUGAGAGGAUAGUGGAAUUCCAGGUGUAGGAGUGAAAUCCGUAGAGAUCUGGAGGA